CCUACGGGAGGCAGCAGUGAGGAAUAUUGGUCAAUGGGCGCGAGCCUGAACCAGCCAAGUAGCGUGAAGGAUGACUGCCCUACGGGUUGUAAACUUCUUUUAUAAAGGAAUAAAGUGAGGCACGUGUGCCUUUUUGUAUGUACUUUAUGAAUAAGGAUCGGCUAACGCCGUUCCAGCAGCAGCGGUAAUACGGAGGGUCCGUGCGUUAUCCGGAUUGAUUGGGUUUAAAGGGAGCGUAGAUGGGUUGUUAAGUCAGGUGUGAAAGUUUGGGGCUCAACCGUAAAAUUGCAAUUGAUACUGGCAGUCUUGAGUACAGUUGAGGUAGGCGGAAUUCGGGGUGUAGCGGUGAAAUGCUUAGAUAUCACGAAGAACUCCGAUUGCGAAGGCAGCUUACUAGACUGCCACUGACAUUGAUGCUCGAAAGUGUGGGUAGCAAACAGGAUUAGAUACCCUGGUAGUC
rnacentral:rRNA from 1 species